rnacentral:misc_RNA from 1 species
GAUGAAGACCGCAGCGAAAUGCGAUACGUAAUGUGAAUUGCAGAUUUCAGUGAAUCAUCGAAUCUUUGAACGCACAUUGCGCCCGCUAGUAUUCUGGCGGGCAUGCCUGUUCGAGCGUCAUUUCAACCAUCAAGCCCUAGGCUUGCGUUGGAGCCCUGCGGCUGCCGCAGGCUCCCAAAUCCAGUGGCGGGCUCGUCGUCGUACCGAGUGCAGUAAACAUCCUCGCUCAGGGAACGUGACGGGUUCUUGCCGUGAAACCCCCCACAUAUCAAGGUUGACCUCGGAUCAGGUAGGAAUACCCGCUGAACUUAAGCAUAUCAAUAAGCGGAGGA